GAUGAACGCUGGCGGCGUGCUUAACACAUGCAAGUCGAACGGAAAGGCUCCUGCUUUCAGGGGUACUCGAGUGGCGAACGGGUGAGUAACACGUGGGUGAUCUGCCCUGCACUUCGGGAUAAGCCUGGGAAACUGGGUCUAAUACCGGAUAGGACGAUGGUUUGGAUGCCAUUGUGGAAAGUUUUUCGGUGGGGGAUGAGCUCGCGGCCUAUCAGCUUGUUGGUGGGGUAGUGGCCUACCAAGGCGUCGACGGGUAGCCGGCCUGAGAGGGUGUACGGCCACAUUGGGACUGAGAUACGGCCCAGACUCCUACGGGAGGCAGCAGUGGGGAAUAUUGCACAAUGGGCGCAAGCCUGAUGCAGCGACGCCGCGUGGGGGAUGACGGCCUUCGGGUUGUAAACUCCUUUCGCUAGGGACGAAGCGCAAGUGACGGUACCUGGAGAAGAAGCACCGGCUAACUACGUG
rnacentral:rRNA from 1 species